CAUUCUAUGUAGGCACAAGGAAGUCCUGCUGAAUUCAGUGGGACUUGCUCCCAGGUGAACACAUUGCCUUUUGUGCUCAUCUAUUCACACACAACUAGCCACCUGGGGAAUUGCUACCUAAAGAAAUUCAACCUUUCUAUAGCAACAGGUGGUGAGGAGCACAAAUGGGAACAGGAGCCAGCAGAUAAGUCCUCCUCCCCACACCAAAUGCAUGUCGAAGAUAAAUGGGUGCCACUGGCUUACACUUCUGAAAUGAACAAGUUUUCUGCCUCUCUUCUUUUUAUUAUGGGUCUUUUGCAGCUGGCCUAAUCAGUUUGGAGCUGAGAACCUCUGUUCC